rnacentral:piRNA from 1 species
UUUUAAAACGAUGUUUUCAGA